rnacentral:rRNA from 1 species
GACGAACGCUGGCGGCGUGCCUAAUACAUGCAAGUGGGACGCAAGGAAACACACUGUGCUUGCACACCGUGUUUUCUUGAGUCGCGAACGGGUGAGUAACGCGUAGGUAACCUGCCUAUUAGCGGGGGAUAACUAUUGGAAACGAUAGCUAAUACCGCAUAAUAUUAAUUAUUGCAUGAUAAUUGAUUGAAAGAUGCAAGCGCAUCACUAGUAGAUGGACCUGCGUUGUAUUAGCUAGUUGGUAAGGUAAGAGCUUACCAAGGCGACGAUACAUAGCCGACCUUGGAGGGUGAUCGGCCACACUUGGACUGAGACCCGGCCCAGACUCCUACGGGAGGCAGCAGUAGGGAAUCUUCGGCAAUGGACGAAAGUCUGACCGAGCAACGCCGCGUGAGUGAAGAAGGUUUUCGGAUCGUAAAGCUCUGUUGUAAGUCAAGAACGUGUGUGAGAGUGGAAAGUUCACACAGUGACGUUAGCUUACCAGAAAGGGACGGCUAACUACGUG